GCGGAUGGGAAGAUUCACCUCGUUAAUCCAAGGCAGCACCGAGCUCCGCAUAAUGUUCCUACUUUACAGUCUGUUCGUGACGAUAGUUUUGCUCCAUGGAAGUUUUGCUCAGAAAGUGAAUCAGUACCCAAGAUCGUUUACUAAACCUGCGGGGAGAACGAUCAGAAUGAAAUGCGAUAUCAAGAGCUCAGAGACUGUUCACUGGUACCAGUCUAAACCCAACAAACCGAUAACACGGAUACUUUAUCGGGCUAACUCCAAAGCUCAGCUGGACGAGGAGACCCCUGGCAGGUUCUCAACAGAGGCGCCCAGCAGUAACCAGCAGGUCCUUGUUAUUAACAACGUCUUAGAGGUCGAUUCUGCCACCUAUUACUGCGCCUACUGGGAUUCCACAGUGCUGAAGAACCACACAUACGCUUAA